GAUGAACGCUGGCGGCGUGCCUAAUACAUGCAAGUCGAGCGAACAGACGAGGAGCUUGCUCCUCUGACGUUAGCGGCGGACGGGUGAGUAACACGUGGAUAACCUACCUAUAAGACUGGGAUAACUUCGGGAAACCGGAGCUAAUACCGGAUAAUAUAUUGAACCGCAUGGUUCAAUAGUGAAAGACGGUUUUGCUGUCACUUAUAGAUGGAUCCGCGCCGCAUUAGCUAGUUGGUAUGGUAACGGCUUACCAAGGCAACGAUGCGUAGCCGACCUGAGAGGGUGAGAGGCCACACUGGAAAGGCGCCACGGUCCAGACUACGACGGGAGGCAGCAGUAGGGAAGCUUCCGCAAUGGGCGAAAGCCUGAAGGAUCAACGACGCGUGAGUGAUGAAGGUCUUCGGAUCGUAAAACGCUGUUAGGAGGGAAGAACAAAAGUGUAAGGAACUAUGCACGUCUGGACGGUACCUAAUCAGAAAGCCACGGCUAACUACGUG
rnacentral:rRNA from 1 species